AAAUAUAUAAUAGAAUUAAUAUUCUAACAUCUAAUAUAAAUUAUAUAUUAUAUAUUAUAAGCUCAAUAAUAAGAAAUAAGAAAUUCACCCUUGACAGUAAUAUAUGUUGUAUAUGUAAAUCCUAGAUGUGAAAACAUGUGUAAUUUGGCCCUGAAAUGAAAAAAAAAGGGAAUAUAGAUGGAAAAAGGGGGGAGAGGUUGGACGUAAAGUAAAAAAAAUCGAUAUGCUAAAAUAAAAUAUGAAAUGAAAUUGAAACAAGGCUAAUGAGAUAGAAAUAAGGAAUCAUAAAUAGAGUUCGGGCUCGAAUUCCAUAGAUAAUAUGGAUGGUGUUGCCUAUAAUGAUGGACAAAUGAAAGACUCUGAAAAUUUUUAUUUAUCCACUUCCUAUUUUGAAAAUAGGUUGGUUGAACUUAAAAAUUCCUUCAUUGAAUAAGGAAACAAUCCAAUUGCAUGCACUUGAAUUGGAUGGGACCAACGAAAUCGAGCGCUAUCCCUCAUUUCUUAUUGAAUUAACUGAUCAACCUCCUGUCGAAGAUUUUUUUGUAUUAGAUAAUUUUGGAAAAAAAAUGACAUAUUUCACUUUAUUAUGAAAAUAAAUCCUACUACUUCUGUUCCUAGAGUUUCCACGCUUGAAAAAGAAAAUCUGGGGCGUAUUUCUCAAAUCAUCGGUCCAGUACUGGUUGUAGCCUUUCCCUCGGGCAAGAUGCCUAAUAUUUACAACGCCCUAGUAGUUAAGGGUCGAGAUACCGCCGGUCAAAAAAUUAAUGUAACUUGUGAGGUACAACAAUUAUUAGGAAAUAAUCGAGUUAAAGUUGUAGCUAUGAGCGCUACAGAUGGUCUAACGAGAGGAAUGAAAGUGAUUGACACAGGAGUUGCUCUAAGUGUUCCAGUCGGCAGAGCGACCCUAGGACGAAUUUUUAACGUGCUUGGGGAGCCCGUUGAUAAUUUAGGUCCUAUAGAUACUCACACAACAUCCCCUAUUCAUAAAUCUGUGCCCGCUUUCAUACAAUUAGAUACAAAAUUAUCUAUUUUUGAAACAGGAAUUAAAGUAGUCGAUCUUUUAGGUCCUUAUCGUCGUGGAGGAAAAAUCAGACUAUUUGGGGGGGCUGGGGUAGGUAAAACAAUACUCAUUAUGGAAUUGAUCAACAACAUUGCCAAAGCUCAUAGGGGCGUAUCCGUAUUUGGCGGAGUAGGUGAACGGACUCGUGAAGGAAAUGAUCUUUACAUGGAAAUGAAAGAAUCUGGAGUAAUUAAUGAACAAAAUCUUUCGAAAUCAAAAGUGGCUUUAGUCUACGGUCAGAUGAAUGAACCGUCAGAAGCUCGUAUGAGAGUUGGAUUGACUGCCCUAACUAUGGCAGAAUAUUUUUGAGAUGUUAAUAAACAAGACGUACUUCUAUUUAUAGACAAUAUCUUCCAUUUUGUCCAAGCGAGAUCCGAAGUAUCUGCCUUAUUGGGUAGAACGCCUUCCGCUGUGGGUUAUCAACCCACCCUUAGUACCGAAAUGGGUACUUUAGAAGAAAGAAUUACUUUUACCAAGGAGGGAUCCAUAACUUCUAUUCAAGCAGUUUAUGUACCUGCGGAUGAUUUGACCGACCUUGCCCCUGCCACAACAAAGACAAAAUUGUUCCAAGCGCCCCUUGUUUCAAAGAGAGGAGGACGGGUUAUUCACAUUUCAUUUGAUGGUCAGAGGCUAAUUGAAAGCCGUAUGCUUUGGAAGAAGCUUGUACAAUUUGGGAAAGGGUUUUGAUUGAUCGAUCAAAAAUAAGAAUCUACUUCAACCGAUAUGCCUUUAGGCACGGCCAUACAUAACAUAGAAAUCACAAUUGGAAGGGGUGGACAAUUAGCUAGAGCAGUGGGUGCUAUUGCGAAACAGAUUGCAAAGGAGGGGAAAUCGGCCACAUUAAAAUUACCUUUUGGGGAGGUCCGUUUGAUAUCUAAAAACUGCUCAGCAAUAGUUGGACAGGUGGGGAAUGUUGGGGUGAACCAGAAAAGUUUGGGUAGAGCCGGAUCUAAAUGUUGGCUAGGUAAGCGUCCUGUAGUAAGAGGAGUAGUUAUGAACCCUGUAGACCAUUCCCAUGGGGGUGGUGAAGGGAGGGCUCCAAUUGGUAGAAAAAAACCCACAACCCCUUGGGGUUAUCCUGCACUUGGCAGAAGAAGUAUAAAAAGGAAUAAAUAUAGUGAUAAUUUGAUUCUUCGUCGAUGGAGUAAAUAGGAGAGAUUAUUUCCUUCUUCGUCUUUACAAAAACAAAAAUACAUAUUUUUAAAGUAAAAAAAAUGGCGCGUUCACUAAAAAAAAAUCCUUUUGUAGAAAAUCAUUUAUUAAAAAAAAUCGAAAGGCUUAAUACAAAAGCGGAAAAGGGAGGAUAAGUCACAAAAAGCUUUUUCAUUUUUAUUUCUAAUACUAAUAUUAGAAAGUGAAGAAAGUGAGGUUUUUGUAGUUGAAAUAAAAUGAGUUGUAUUUUUAGUUGUUUUAUUAAUUCUUUCUUGAUUUGCUUUAUUAUUGUGAAUGAAGUUCUGAAUCAUUUUUUUUUGUUGAUUCAAGAAAAAGUUGGGUAUUGGUUCUUGGAAUAUUAAUGAUAUAUAGAAGAAUAUCCAUGUAUAUCUUUUCAAUGAAAAAUUUUAUAAAAAAAUAGAAUUUCUGGAUUAAUCGAAUAUUUCUUCUUUUUACUAUUUGCCAAAAUUUUUUUGCUGAUUCUACUAUUUUAUCCUGAUAAAAUUUUUUUGCUAAUUCUACUAUUUUAUCCUAAUAACUUAUUUUGUUAGAACUACUAUUUAUUUCUUGAGUUAGAAAUUCAUUUUUCUUCUAUUUUAUAAUUAGAAUUUUUUGUAUUUGAUUUCUGAUUGUGUUUGUUCUCUUAGUCAGAUCUUAUAUAUAUAUUUUUCUGUUAAUGAAUAAUUUGUCCACGCCAUAGAUUGAAUUUGAAGGGAUGAUUUGUGAAUCAUCUUAUUACUAAUUAUUGAAUCGUUCUUAGUUUCGCCCAAUUCAUAUGGUUCUAUCAACCCAAAAAAUGGAAUUGGAUUUGUUUUUGAAAGUUCUUUUAUUAGUCCCUUUAGAAAUAGAAUGCUUUGAGUGAUCCAUUUUUUUGUUUCUUUUGAAGCUUUUCGAAACAAUUUAGUUUUUUCUUUUAAAAUUGUUAAAGCUAUAAAACAUUUCAUUUUCCAUUUUUUUUAUUUUUUUAGUUCUUUAAAAAUAGGCUCAAAAAAUGAACGCCGUUUUCGAAGAGAGCCGAAAGGUAGUUCAGUUUCCAUUCCCCAAACUGUUAAAAAGCAAAAAUCAUUCUUUUGACCUUUCUUUUUUUUCAUUGGAUCUUUAUGAGAGGGUUGUAGUUUAAAUCUGUGCCAAGGUUUCAGGCAAAAAGGAAAUAGGAUCUUUAUCUGAAUACCGUCUGUUAACCAGUUUUUUGGAAAUUCUGUUUCAGAUAAUUGAACACCAUUAUAAGUCCAUUUAACAUGCAUUUCUCGAUUCCAAUCCGUUAAAUCCUCAGACCACUCAGGAAAUUGAAAUAAUAACAUACGGGAAAUGUUUUUAACUAUUAUCAAUGAAGGUAAUAUAAUAUAUUUUAUAAGAAUUGAUUGGGUUAUUAACACGGAGCCCCUUAUUACUUGAGCAAGUAAAAGACUAUCCCAAGCUUCUGCUAUUUCUAUCCUCAUUUUCUCUUCUCUUUUGUAUUUUUCUCUUUUAGCCUCGUCUUUUUUCUCGAUUUUUUUUUCUGUAUAAUCAGAAAAUUUUGAUUCUUUGUUUUUACAUAUCCAAUUUUGAGAUAUUUGUUUCAGCGGUCCAGAAAUAUCAAAAGAAAAAAAGAGUGGUUUGUCUACUCUAUCCAAAAAAAGGGGGGAAUGUACAUUUGCUUGAAACAGCUCCCAAGUAAUUGUUUUAUGCCUUUGGACACGCAUGGAACCUUUUAUUAUGUCACGCCGAAAAUCCGAUUGUUGCGAAUAGCAUAUCAAAGCCACUUCGUUUGUUUGAUCAGGAUCAUUAGCAUCCUUGGUAUUAGUAUAAGUAUCGGCGUUUGCCUAGUUAUUAGUAAAAAUCACGACGCACUUGGAUUUUCUUGAAUGAAUUUCAUGCUUUGUUGUUACAUUUUCCUCGUUUUCGCCCUCCUGUUGUUCUAAAUCAUCGAUUAAUUUGUAUGACCAUCGAGGAACUUUUUUACUUGUUUAUUUUAUUCCAAUAGAUUUUUUUCUAAUUGUUUGAUUUUUGGGAUUAGUUAUAACUAUAUUGAAUAAAAAUUUCAAAAUUUUGACUCGAUCCUCGGAAUCGAUAUUUCCCUGUUCAUCUUCUGUCAAUGUCAAUAAAGAGAGUUCUUUUUUUGUUGCUAAUGAUUUUAUAUUGAGUGUAUCUAGUGUCUGUUCAAGUUCUUGAUAAUUAGUAGUAAGAAGUAGAGCAUGAAUCUUAUUUAUCUAAAACGGAUCCGUGUUUUUUUUAUAAGUUUGAUUUAUGCUUAAAGGAGAACCCCAUUUUUUUAUUCUUCCGCGAUAGGGUCCAUGUAAGAAAGAAUCAUAUAGUUUAGGCAAGUAUUAUCUUUUAGUUUCAUUAUUAGAGAAUCGAGUCCCUUUUUCAAGUAUGCCCAGAUCAAAAGAUUCCUUAUCUAAAGAUUCGACUCUUUUUAUAAACUCCUUACUAAAAUUUCUUUUUUUUAGCUCAUUGAUAAAACUCCAAUCAGUAUACAAUUCAUCAGGAAACAAUUUUUCUGGUGUGAAAAAAUAUAUUUUUUUUGUAUCAUUUCCCCAAAAGUUGAUAAACUGGGUGGAUACGUAAAAGAUAUUUUUUCUUUUCCAUCACUUUGACAUGUAUAAAAAAAUUGUGACAUUUCAUUUUUUAUAGCAUUUUCAACCUGGUCAAUUUUUUAUAUAUCGCAAAGGUCAAUUCCAUCAUUUAGAAUAAAAAAGAACUGUCACAAGAGGUUUUUCAAUCCAUAAUAAAUAUUUAUCUUCUUUUUUUUAAUAUUUCUAAUUUUGAACUUUCUUGAUUCCCAUCCAGAUAAGAGGUUUCAUAAACCAGUUUAUUUUUAGAGUAUGUCUCUUUAAAACGAAAGUGGAGUUUGCCCUUUCUUUUUUUUCUUUCCUAUCACUCGUAGCUUUUCUGUUUCGUCGAUUUUGCUCGGAUCCACCUCUUCCUCCAAAAAAGGGAAGAAGAAGUAUUUUCUUCGGUCCCCUGUUUCUGGUUAGCCCCUCCCCCUUCGGAAAUAGUUUCUAUUUCUAUGUUUCUUUCUUCCUCACUUUCCCCCACUUCUUCCAUUUUGAAAAUUCCUUUCAGUUUCUUAGUUAGAAUGGGUGGCGGUAUUCUGCCUAAAUAGUAAACACAGGUAAUAAAUAACAGAAUACUAAAGAUUCGAGCCAUAGAAUUUCUAAAUUCUGAUACAAGAUACUUAUUAGAUCAAAUAUGUACAUUAGACCUAAUUAAAUUAUUUUGCUGUAUCCAGACUAAUACCAACCCAACCCAUUUCAUCAAUAAAAUAUGACCAAUUAACCAACCAACAAAACUACUUGUUACAAAUAACAUAUUGUUGUUGCAUCGAAACAUAUAGAUGUUGACUAAUCUGGCUAACAUUGAACUUGGUAAAAUGAAAUGGUUGAAUAAUUGAAUAAUGAGAUUAUUCAGGAAUACACAUUGAAUGCUAAGAUUACGCAUUGAAUUUCUGGUAGAACGUCUAUGAUCAAAAAAGUCUUUGUGAUUGUUCCAGAAGAAAUGAAACAAAAGAUACGGUAGAGCUAGCACAGUUAUUGUAUGAGGUUUACCCAAUGCUAAAUGCAGAGGUACAUAGUAGAUUGAUAUGAACAUCAUGAUCUGGCCUGCAAUAAACCCAGUUGUUGCUGAUACUCUCUUCUCAGUUCCUUCUUUUCCUUCUUCCAUAACUCGAGCUCAUAGAAGGAAGAUAUAAGAGGGACCUAUAGAUAGUGUGGUCAGAAAUCCAUAAUAGAGUCUAACCAUAACGACCGAAUUGAGUAUCGUCAUGUAUAAGGUUAUUAGAUUCCCUGGUAUAAAAGAUUUUAAAAUCAUCAUUAACUCCCUUUUUUCUUUUCUAUUUCUGGAUUAUUAUAUGAUGAUUUUUGAACUUUCCAUAUACAUAUAUAGAAAUAGAAAAAGAUAGACUAGAACCGACAUCUCUUAUGUGAUGUCAAUGACAAUAAAAAAAUGGAAUUGGGAUCUAGAUGGAAUAUAAUGAAAUAGAGCCACUUUGAGGUUCCCAAUGAAAUGAGGCAUGGAACGGAGCCACUACGAAGAAGUUCCGGGGAUUACGAAGGAAACUUCGAGUUCAUAUUGGUCAUGGGUUGAGAAUGGGAAUUGAACUCUAUGAAAUCUAAUCUCCCAUUGUUCCUCAGUAGCUCAGCGGUAGAUCAGUCGGCUGUUAACUGACUGGUCGUAGGUUCAAAUCCUACUUGAGGAGAUUUGAUUCAUUCAGAAAUUAAAGAAUUCAAAAUGUCAAAAUGAAAGGGUUCGCUUUGACCGUUAAAAGCAGGUAACCCGUUCCCUGUGUCUUUGUUUUUAUUGCAUUCUAUCUCAUCGUAUCACAUCCUGUUUUGCGAUAUUUGAGAAUCACUAUCAAUACCUCGGUGUAGGUGUCCGGGAUAAUCAUUUGUUCCAUAGUCCCGGGGCUAUUUACAACCAGCCAAUUAAAAAUUCUCAGAUGGACUAGUACUAGCAAAUGCCUCAAAGAUGCAGUCAUUGAUUCUCCCAAGAGGCCACAAUUACCGCGAGCAAACACAUUAAUUUAAUGACGAGGAGCGCAUUUUUCUAUGCUACUAAUACUUGUACUUGCUCUGCUAUUCUGCCCAAGCCUGGCUGAGGAAGAGUUAUGGGGCGUAAAAUAAAAAAAUAUGCUUAUUUUGUUUUGGCCGGUAAUACUAUAUAUAAAUAUAAAAUAGAAAAGUAAAUAUACGAUAAAUAAUAAAUAAAAGGCCACUCCAUUUUGGUAAAAGACCCACGCCCAAGUUCCAUAGCUUUGGGUCUGCUAUCCCGAUCAUGGUUUUCCUACCCUAGAGGGAAAGGUCCUUCCCUUUUGGGCCGGUUGUGGGCGAGGAGGGAUUCGAACCCCCGACACCGUGGUUUGUAGCCACGUGCUCUAAUCCUCUGAGCUAUAGGCCCCACCUCGUCUCCACUAGAUCUAUUCCUAGGAGUACCCUAAAAAAAAGGAACCUUUCCUCUCUCUAGCCAUUUCGGGUUAAGAAGAUGUGAAAGUGCCUUUCUCUCUAUAAGAAUGGUGCGUUCCGAGGUUUGAAGUGGGAGAGAGGGGAUUUCAUAAUUGGGGUUUUGAAUGAGAACUAAUUAAACGAUUCUGUUGAUCCAUUCGAAGAAUUAAUCGUUUCACAAUUAGUGAACUGAAUUUAUUAACAUAACCCUGAUUUUUAAAAAAAAUCAUCGGUUUAUUUAAACCAUGCUCAUGAGCAAGUGCAUAAAUAUACUCCCGAAAAAUAAGUGGGUAUAGGAAAUCGUGUCGGCAGGAUCUAUUUGAUUUGAACCAAAGAUAGGGGAUCUAUUUGGUUAUUAAAUGAUACAUAGUGCGAUACAGUCAAAACAAGGUAUUAUAGUAAGAAAAGAAUAGAUACCUCGGAGACAGGCGGAUUCAUCAAUGGAUUCUCUAUCCUAUCUUUUGCCAUCUAAUUGAUUUAUGUUUGUUAUAGGAUAAGAAGACGGUUAGAAAUCCUUUAUUUUUUCAACCCAAUCGCUCUUUUGAUUUUGGAAAAAACUAUCUUUUCUUUAUGAAUAUACUGCUUCUUCUACACAUUCAUGGCUAACCUAUAAAGGGAAUGCCUAAUAAUAAGGACUCAUAAAAAAAUCGAUAAUUUACUCAUGAGAAAAACCUUUACCACAUUAGGCACUAAUUUCUUUUUAACAUUUAGAUCAGGUAAUCAUUCAAAUUGAGAACAGAAGCUCGUUACUUUUUGUUUCCCUAUAAUUGGGGCCGUAGAGCUCUAUCCAUUUAUUCACUCAACCCAACUUUGAAUUCAAUUCAUUUUUUUGUUCCGCACCAAAAAUUAAAAAACGGUUUGUUUUGGAAUGAUCCAGAAAAAAAGGAUUCUUAGAAUUCUCCAUUGCUAUGACAUGCUCUUUUUUCCAUCCACUCCUUUCAGGAUCAGUCGUGGUCUUAAAAACUCUACCGAUGGUCUGAACAAAUCCCUUUCUUCAUACAAAUAUGUAAAAGAUUCUAGUCACACUUAAAAGCAGAGUACUCUACCGUUGAAUUAGCAACCUGAAAAAUUAGAAUAUAUAGAUACAAUCGAAAUAAAAAAAUGGAAUUGCACUAGGCAAUCAAAACACAAAAUUCUCAAAUAAAACCAUAGAAAUAGAAAUAGAAUAAGUGAAAAUUUGCGGACCGCCUCUUGUCUUAUUCAUUCCAUUGUUAUCCUUUUUUUUGUUUCAAUACAAUUACAAUAAAAAACUUAUUGUAUCACAACAAAUUCAAAGAAAGAACGCAUUAUUUGAAUGAAGUGAAGUGCCAAACGAGGAUAAAUGGAUCUAUUUAUCUAUGAUAGAAUUAUAUUUGUUCGAUACACUGUUGUCAAUAUGAUUGUAAAUUUUGAAUAUAAAUGUUGAGAGUUGAGAAAAGAAUAAAGAAUACAAAAAAGACUACAAAAAAUACAAUGAAAUAAAAGAAUUCAUUUUUUUAUUUUUUAUUAAUUAUUAUUAAUGUUUUCUCUUUUUAUAUGUUAUAUGUUAUUUUAUCUUAUUUUAUGUUGUUUUGUAAAUGUUUAAAUGCAAUUACUUCAUUUAUUCACUUGAUCUUUUCUCUCUCUAUUUUCUGUCAACAAAAUUGGCUUAAUAAAAUCGGGUUUUGUUGUUAUAGAACACGGUAUUCUAGAUUUUAUAGUAGCAAUAUUCUAUAGUAGCAAAGCAAUAAGAAAUACGAAUAAUAAAUUUUUUAAAAAUAAAAGUCUGAAUAGACCAAAAGAGGGGGGAGGAAAUAAUAAAGAAAAAUUUAUCCAAAGCUAGAUAUGAAUCAUCCACACCCUCUUUUUUGGAUUUCAAUAAUUGAAUUUUGUUUGAUUAAGACUAAGUUCUGUAAAAACUCCCACCUUCUUUAAAAUAUCAUGAACAGUUGUUGUGGGUUGAGCUCUUUUUUCAAGGAAAUAGAGAAUGACAGGAACAGUUAAAUAGGUUUGAUUAUUUAUCGGAUCAUAAAAACCCACUUUUCGAAAAUCUCUUCCCUCUCUUCGGGAUCGAACAUCAAUUGCAACGAUUCGAUAAACGGCUCAUUGGGAUAGAUGUAGUUAAUAAUACCCCCUAGAAACGUAUAAGAAGUUUUCAUUGUGGGUAUAAUGGUAGAUGCUCUGGACCAAGUUAUUAUUAUUUCUUUUUCCGCUUUUGUAUUAAGCCUUUCGAUUUUUUUAAUAAAUGAUUUGCUACAAAAGGAUUUGUUUUUAGUGAACGCGCCAUUUUUUUUACUUUAAAAAUAUAUCUUUUUGUUUUUGUAAAGACGAAGAAAGAAAUAAUCUCUCAUAUUUACUCCAUUGACGAAGAAUCAAAUUAUCACUAUAUUUAUUCCUUUUUCUACUUCUUCUUCCAAGUUCAGGAUAACCCCAAGGGGUUGUGGGUUUUUUUCUACCAAUUGGAGCCCUCCCUUCACCACCCCCAUGGGGAUGGUCUACAGGGUUCAUAACUACUCCUCUUACUACAGGACGCUUACCUAGCCAACAUUUAGAUCCGGCUCUACCCAAACUUUUCUGGUUCACCCCAACAUUCCCUACUUGUCUGACUAUUGCUGAGCAGUUUUUGGAUAUCAAACGGACCUCCCCAAAAGGUAAUUUUAAUGUGGCCGAUUCCCCUCCUUUGCAAUCAGUCUCGCAACAGCACCCGCUGCUCUAGCUAAUUGUCCACCCCUUCCAAGUGUGAUUUCUAUGUUAUGUAUGGCCGUGCCUAAGGGCAUAUCGGUUGAAGUAGAUUCUUCUUUUUGAUUGAUCAAUCAAAACCCCUUCCCAAACUGUACAAGCUUCUUCCAAAGCAUACAGCUUUCUGGAUGUAGAUGAUGAUAUCUAUAUAGAUGGAUUCGUAUAAUUCUUA
rnacentral:lncRNA from 1 species